GAUGAAGAACGUAGCAAAAUGCGAUACUUGGUGUGAAUUGCAGAAUCCCGUGAACCAUCGAGUUUUUGAACGCAAGUUGCGCCCGAAGCCUUUGGCCGAGGGCACGUCUGCCUGGGCGUCACGCAUCGCGUCGCCCCCCACAAAUUCUCCGUCAGGGGAGCUUGUGUUUCGGGGGCGGAUACUGGUCUCCCGUGCUCAUGGCGCGGUUGGCCGAAAUAGGAGUCCCUUCGAUGGACGCACGAACUAGUGGUGGUCGUAAAAACCCUCGUCUUUUGUUUCGUGCCGUUAGUCGCGAGGGAAGCUCUUCAAAAACCCCAACGCGUCGUCUCUUGACGGCGCUUCGACCGCGACCCCAGGUCAGGCGGGACUACCCGCUGAGUUUAAGCAUAUCAAUAAGCGGAGGA
rnacentral:misc_RNA from 1 species